CAGAAAAAAAAGGGAAAACAGCAACCCGCAAUCAACCAAUGACAUAUACUUUUGGAAAGAAGAUGAGAAGGCAAGUAGAGGGAGAAGUGCAGAAUCUUUAGAAACACUACCCGCAAACUCCAGAACUAGAAGCGGAACGGACAGCAACAUCAGGCAGAAGAGACCAGUGAGUGAAGGAGAUAGCCUGCUGCUGACCUACUUGGCCUGUGCACAG